AAAAAAAAAACCGAGUAAAGUAAAACCAAAAUAUCUGUUCUUCUUCGUCUUUUUUUUUCCCCAAAACCCUCCAUUGGUUAAGACUCGGUAUAACCAGCAGAGCUAAGUGAAAAAAUAAUUGGUGACAUUUCACUUUGCCAUUUGGGAUGAAAAAGUAACACUAUAGAGUUGGAAAAGGACGGGUAUUGCCCCCAUUUUGUCUUUACCAUUUGGGAUAGAAAAGGAAAUUCAAUAGUUUUGUUGCCAUCAAAUUUCCUGGACAGCAAAAUUUGUGGGUUGAUUAUUGCUCUUGAAAAAAGUUUUUGAGUAAUUCUUGAAAUUUCCUUUUACCAAAAGGGCAAACUAAAGAGGAGGCUGACGUGGCCAACUGUGUUCUCUUUCUUCAAAAACAAAAACCAGCAAAACGACAUGGAUUUUCAAAAUAGUGGGGCCACGUCAGUGGGCAUUAGAACAUCGACCCUUUGACAACCGGAAAUUCAGAACUUCGCUUACCUUUCCCUUGGCGCGAUUGGUGCCGGACUGUGACAAAGCCACCAAGGGAGGAAUCGCUCCUUCGCGGGCCACCAUCGCACGAUGCAACAAAUUAUCCUCGCAAAUCUGCAACAAUAUCCCAACCGCAAUCUCCUUCUGCCUCUGCGAUCCGACCUCGAUGAUCUCCACCAGUACCGGAAUCCCACCUUCUUCAACCAAUGCUGUUCUGGCCUCCUGAAUAGUAACCAACAUGCUCAAUACGAACGCUGAUUUGUCCACCAUGUUUGACCCGAAAUCAGCCAUUAAUUCCACCAGUGGCCUCAUGAUCCCAGCAUGGACAGCCCUUUUUUUAUUCUCCUUUGCUGAACAUAGCGAAUACAGAGCUGUUGCUGCGUCCUUUUUCCCGCGAAUUCCUCCACUUUCGAGUAAGUUCACGAGAAGUGGAAUGGCCCCAGACCGUCCGAUUGCAACCUUGUUUUCUUCUACUUGUGAUAGGCGAAGCAAAGCACAGGCUGCGUUCUCUUUCGCAGUUGAUGUCCCUGUUCUCAAAGCCCUAACCAGCGGCGUAAUCGCUCCCGAUGUAGCAAUCACUUCCUUGUUCUCGUCGCAGAGAGAUAAAUUCAAAAUAGCCGUGACGCCAUACUCUUGAAGCUGAGAAUCCGGUGAUGAUAUCAACGUAAUCAGAGGUUUAAUUGCUCCCGCUUUAGCUAUUUUGAAGCGGUUCUCUGGCUUGUUCUUAGCAAGGAGCCUAAUCUCCAUAGCCGCUUGUUUUUGCUCGUCAAUCGAACAGGACUCGAGAUCCAAUACGAGCUGGCGAAGCAGAUCAUCGGAAUUCUCCGAUGCGCAAGCUAUCAAUAAUCGCCUGCUCUCCGACGCAGCCGUUUGGAACUCCCCGGAUCUGUCGCUAUUACAGUCACUGAAAGGAGAGGAAUCAUCGUUAGCACUAGUAUUACCGAAGCUCCUACCCAUAUACGUGUAAUUUGCUCCAUUUUCGGUCUCCAUCACUACAAUAUUCUUCUCUUACUGCAUCAAAAUCAGCUAUGAAUUCGGAUUAAGGUUCGGGUUACAAAAUCCGAAUUGGUGAUAUUCGGGUUUGGUAGGCGGUGGCUGGAGCUGCAGAACAC
rnacentral:misc_RNA from 1 species